rnacentral:lncRNA from 1 species
UUGUUUUUGCCUUGAGUUUAAAUACACAGACCUAACUCUAAAAGCUGGAGGAUAAUGAAACCAAACAAAGGCCUUGGAAUUGACUGAAAAUCAUAACCAAUUCAUUGAGCAUACCAUGGAUUAAGAGAAAGAAUAAACUUAUAUUGCAGCAAAGUUACAAAUAGAUUUCAAUACAGAAUUCUUGAAAGUUCAUUAUUCCAACUAAAAUUAAAACAUAAACUUAAAAGGCAAAACCACAAACUGGCAACCUUUUGCUCUUAUUCUAUACAGAAAAUUAAAGAGACAAGCCACACACUUUCAUCACAUCAUGCACAAAGCUCUUCAAAUAGAGAAACUUAAACUUUAUGUUCAAUACCUGCACAAUAUAUUCUUAAGGGUGAGCAACGCUCAGUAGGAGGCUAGUCCUCUUUAAACAACAGAUGUCAACCAUAACAAUGCAUGAAUGCAAUGAUCCCUUCAAUAAUAACCCCUUCACCCAAACCAUGUUUCCCUUUUUGUUAGUCCUCUUGCUUAAUGUCGAUCACCAAAAUCGUACAGCCAUACUUGGUCCUUACGAAUUAAGCUCAACUACACAAAAGUAUUCUCCCACAAAUUUCAUUCCCAAAUUCACCAAUCUCCUGUCUCUAUUUUAUAUUCAUGAACAUGUUGAUUAACUAAGAAUAUAUCACAAAUAACACCUUAUCAAUAAUUCCACAAUCAAGUUUCAUAAACAAAAUCAUAUAUAACAAAACAUCAGCCAGAAACACAACAAUUACACAUAGCUUCAAAACAGCAAACAACAAACAAAACACAUAUAGAAUACCAGCAAACAAAACACAAUAAAUUAAAUAGAGGUUCCCGAGAUCUCCCUACCUCAAUUCAAAAGCUAUGAUUUUCAGAUACUCUCUUGUUCUCAGAAAAUUUUCCUUCCCUCACUAUUUCUUUUCUUUUUGUAAACACUAGAGAUAGGAAAACUCAAUGAAAAAUAAGAGAACAAAACCUGGUAUUUAUAUUACUAUGCAAACAGGUCAGAAUUCAAUUCUAGAUAGGAUAAGAUCGGAUGCCACCUCGAUAGGAAUCUCCACCUCCUGCUUCUUGGUAACUGAUUUCUCCAAGUCUUCUCCUAUAUGAACGACAACUCUACCUUCUAACAUUAUUAUUGUAGUGGUUCUGAUCUUCUAAUCUAAGUGGAGUGGUGCUUGCAAGGAGGAACAGAAAAGAGGAGGAUGACCACAAAGAGAGCAGAGGCCGAAUGAGGUUGAACACUUAUAUACAUACAUACAUAUAUACAACCCCCUUCCAUUGAGGGAUCCCUAUUUUUGGCCACUUUCUAGGGAUAGGGCAUUACACCACUUCCCAAUUGAAUUUUUACAUCUCCACCGUUCAUAUCUUAGGUCUAUAUGAGUAGAUCACAUCUACAAAAUUUCAUAUGAUUUGGUGAUCGUUAAGACUUUCAAAAGUUUGAUGUAGUUUUAAUGAUUUNNN